rnacentral:rRNA from 1 species
GGUUAAGUGACUAAGCGUACACGGUGGAUGCCUUGGCAGUCAGAGGCGAUGAAAGACGUAGUAACUUGCGAUAAGCCCAGAUUAGGUAGUAACAACCAUUUGAGUCUGGGAUUUCUGAAUGGGGAAACCCACUUACAUAAGUAAGUAUCAUUAACUGAAUACAUAGGUUAAUGAGGCGAACCGGGGGAACUGAAACAUCUAAGUACCCCGAGGAAAAGAAAUCAACCGAGAUUCCGAAAGUAGCGGCGAGCGAAAUUGGACUAGCCCUUAAGCUUUACACGCGUUAGACGAACGGUCUGGAAAGUCCGACGAUACAGGGUGAUAGUCCCGUAGUUGACGACGUGUGUUCAGUGAAAUCGAGUAGGGCGGGACACGUGAUAUCCUGUCUGAAUAUGGGGGGACCAUCCUCCAAGGCUAAAUACUACUGACUGACCGAUAGUGAACCAGUACCGUGAGGGAAAGGCGAAAAGAACCCCUGUGAGGGGAGUGAAAUAGAACCUGAAACCGUGUACGUACAAGCAGUAGGAGCAGGCUUUGUCCUGUGACUGCGUACCUUUUGUAUAAUGGGUCAGCGACUUAUAUUCAGUGGCAAGGUUAACCAUCUAGGGGAGCCGUAGGGAAACCGAGUCUUAACUGGGCGUUCAGUCUCUGGAUAUAGACCCGAAACCAGGUGAUCUAGCCAUGGGCAGGUUGAAGGUUGAGUAACAUCAACUGGAGGACCGAACCGACUAAUGUUGAAAAAUUAGCGGAUGACUUGUGGCUAGGGGUGAAAGGCCAAUCAAACCUGGAGAUAGCUGGUUCUCCCCGAAAGCUAUUUAGGUAGCGCCUCGGACGAAUACUACUGGGGGUAGAGCACUGUUAAGGCUAGGGGGUCAUCCCGACUUACCAACCCUUUGCAAACUCCGAAUACCAGUAAGUACUAUCCGGGAGACACACGGCGGGUGCUAACGUCCGUCGUGGAGAGGGAAACAACCCAGACCGCCAGCUAAGGUCCCAAAUUACUACUAAGUGGGAAACGAUGUGGGAAGGCUCAGACAGCCAGGAUGUUGGCUUAGAAGCAGCCAUCAUUUAAAGAAAGCGUAAUAGCUCACUGGUCGAGUCGGCCUGCGCGGAAGAUGUAACGGGGCUAAGUAGUAAACCGAAGCUGCGGCAAUGUGCUUUUGCACAUUGGGUAGGGGAGCGUUCUGUAAGCGGUUGAAGGUGUGUGGUAACGCAUGCUGGACGUAUCAGAAGUGCGAAUGCUGACAUGAGUAACGAUAAAGGGGGUGAAAAACCUCCUCGCCGGAAGACCAAGGGUUCCUGUCCAACGUUAAUCGGGGCAGGGUAAGUCGACCCCUAAGGCGAGGCCGAAAGGCGUAGUCGAUGGGAAACGGGUUAAUAUUCCCGUACUUCUUACAAUUGCGAUGGGGGGACGGAGAAGGCUAGGUGGGCCUGGCGACGGUUGUCCAGGUUCAAGUGCGUAGGCUUAAGAGUUAGGUAAAUCCGGCUCUUUUUAAGGCUGAGACACGACGUCGAGCACCUACGGGUGUGAAGUCAUUGAUGCCAUGCUUCCAGGAAAAGCCUCUAAGCUUCAGAUUGUAAGGAAUCGUACCCCAAACCGACACAGGUGGUCGGGUAGAGAAUACCAAGGCGCUUGAGAGAACUCGGGUGAAGGAACUAGGCAAAAUGGUACCGUAACUUCGGGAGAAGGUACGCUCUCGACGGUGAAGUCCCUCGCGGAUGGAGCUAUUGAGAGUCGCAGAUACCAGGUGGCUGCAACUGUUUAUUAAAAACACAGCACUGUGCAAAAUCGUAAGAUGACGUAUACGGUGUGACGCCUGCCCGGUGCCGGAAGGUUAAUUGAUGGGGUUAGACUUCGGUCGAAGCUCUUGAUCGAAGCCCCGGUAAACGGCGGCCGUAACUAUAACGGUCCUAAGGUAGCGAAAUUCCUUGUCGGGUAAGUUCCGACCUGCACGAAUGGCGUAAUGAUGGCCACGCUGUCUCCACCCGAGACUCAGUGAAAUUGAAAUCGCUGUGAAGAUGCAGUGUACCCGCGGCUAGACGGAAAGACCCCGUGAACCUUUACUACAGCUUGGCACUGAACAUUGACCCUACAUGUGUAGGAUAGGUGGGAGGCUUUGAAGCACGUACGCCAGUAUGUGUGGAGCCGUCCUUGAAAUACCACCCUUGUAGUGUUGAUGUUCUAACGUCGACCCCUUAUCGGGGUUGCGGACAGUGCCUGGUGGGUAGUUUGACUGGGGCGGUCUCCUCCCAAAGAGUAACGGAGGAGCACGAAGGUGGGCUAAUCACGGUUGGACAUCGUGAGGUUAGUGCAAUGGCAUAAGCCCGCUUGACUGCGAGAAUGACAAUUCGAGCAGGUGCGAAAGCAGGUCAUAGUGAUCCGGUGGUUCUGAAUGGAAGGGCCAUCGCUCAACGGAUAAAAGGUACUCCGGGGAUAACAGGCUGAUACCGCCCAAGAGUUCAUAUCGACGGCGGUGUUUGGCACCUCGAUGUCGGCUCAUCACAUCCUGGGGCUGAAGUCGGUCCCAAGGGUAUGGCUGUUCGCCAUUUAAAGUGGUACGCGAGCUGGGUUUAGAACGUCGUGAGACAGUUCGGUCCCUAUCUGCCGUGGGCGUUGGAAGAUUGAAGGGGGCUGCUCCUAGUACGAGAGGACCGGAGUGGACGAACCUCUGGUGUUCGGGUUGUGUCGCCAGACGCAUUGCCCGGUAGCUAAGUUCGGAAUCGAUAACCGCUGAAAGCAUCUAAGCGGGAAGCGAGCCCUGAGAUGAGUCUUCCCUGAUACUUUAAGUAUCCUAAAGGGUUGUCGGAGACUACGACGUUGAUAGGUCAGGUGUGUAAGUGCUGUGAGGCAUUGAGCUAACUGAUACUAAUUGCCCGUGAGGCUUAACCAU